AACGAACGCUGGCGGCAGGCCUAACACAUGCAAGUCGAGCGCUCACUUCGGUGGGAGCGGCGGACGGGUUAGUAACGCGUGGGAACAUACCCUUUUCUAAGGAAUAGCCACUGGAAACGGUGAGUAAUACCUUAUACGCCCUUCGGGGGAAAGAUUUAUCGGUGAAGGAUUGGCCCGCGUUAGAUUAGAUAGUUGGUGGGGUAACGGCCUACCUAAGACUGUGAUCAAUAGCUGAUUUGAGAGGAUGAUCAGCCACAUUGGGACUGAGACACGGCCCAGACUCCUACGGGAGGCAGCAGUGGGGAAUCUUAGACAAUGGGGGCAACCCUGAUCUAGCCAUGCCGCGUGAGUGAUGAAGGCCUUAGGGUCGUAAAGCUCUUUCGCCUGUGAUGAUAAUGACAGUAGCAGGUAAAGAAACCCCGGCUAACUCCGUG
rnacentral:rRNA from 1 species